GGGAGGCGCUGUUGCCAUGGCAACACUGCCGGUGCCGCGCCGGGCCGGGCCGCGCGCUGAGUACCAGCUGGGCCCGGAGGGGAGGGCCUGGGGCCUCAGAGGCCUCCGUUGAUGGGACAAGGGAUCAGGAGCUGAUUCAGGAUCUUCUGGAACAAGGUCAUAAAACUGAACUGACAGUAUCUCUUCAGCCACGACUACAAAAUGCUAUGACAGAAGAGAUUUAACUUACACUACCCUCCUUUGUUAUACGCGUCAUAAGAAAAUAUAUGAAACGUGUUCACUAUUAAGCAGCAGAGAUUGUCAUGAAUGUGUUUUCUUUAAGGCACAAUUCAGUUUUGUACCUUUUAAAACUGCUCAACCGUAGUUAUAAAGAAGAAUAGGAGAAAUAGUUCUUCCUGCUGAGUAUGUCCUAGGGUAAGGUAACCUCUGUUAGGUAUGUGUCCUACCCAGGGCAAAGGAGUUUGGGAAGGGGCUUUUCCAAGCAAAAAAGUUUGUGUCUCUUGUGAGAAGAAGUCCGUGUAAAACGUGAGGGGAAAUAGAUGUGGCAUAGAAAGUCAAGACAAGAAUCAGAACAAGCCUUGAAAAUUUUAACUCAAGAGUAACCUGGUGUGAAUAAGUGAUUAUCCCAGCAAAUGGUAGCUAAACAGAAAUGAGAGUUGGGAAUAAAAAAUGUUCAAAUUUCCUUGAACAAAGUAUGGUUCAAACAAUAAGGAGCUUUCAUAAAGAUUGUAUAUGAACAAGCUUGCAAUAAAAGUACCAAACCUUAUAACUA